GAAAAGUUUACAGGAAAAAAAUAAAAGAAUUUCAAACAGGAUUUUUUUUUUGUUUGCUGCUUGACACAUUCUAUGAUGCUCGACAAAUCCACAACUUGAUUUCUUAAAGAAUUUUGUUUUUCUUAUUCAACUUGAGAUGGCUGACUGACUGAGUGUUGAUGAUAAUGAUCAACAACAAUGGAUAAAUGGGCGGUUGGUUUCUAUAAUUGGAAACAGUGUCUAUCGAAAACAAUUCUUUGAAUUUUACAAGAUCAUACAAUUCUUUUCGUUUGGCAAAGAAUUUUCAUUCGAAAUCGAUUCAUCAGAAUUACACAAUUGUUUUUCUCACUUCCGCAGAUGAUGAUGAUGAUGAUGAUGACCUGGUUUCAGAAUUCCA